GGGCCGGUAGUCUAGCUCGGCAGGACGUCGCUCUCACACGGCGAAGGUCGCCGGUUCAAAUCCGGCCCGGCCCA
rnacentral:tRNA from 1 species